UGGGGAAUAUUGCACAAUGGGCGGAAGCCUGAUGCAGCAACGCCGCGUGCGGGAUGACGGCCUUCGGGUUGUAAACCGCUUUCGCCUGUGACGAAGCGUGAGUGACGGUAAUGGGUAAAGAAGCACCGGCUAACUACGUGCCAGCAGCCGCGGUGAUACGUAGGGUGCGAGCGUUGUCCGGAUUUAUUGGGCGUAAAGGGCUCGUAGGUGGUUGAUCGCGUCGGAAGUGUAAUCUUGGGGCUUAGCCCUGAGCGUGCUUUCGAUACGGGUUGACUUGAGGAAGGUAGGGGAGAAUGGAAUUCCUGGUGGAGCGGUGGAAUGCGCAGAUAUCAGGAGGAACACCAGUGGCGAAGGCGGUUCUCUGGGCCUUUCCUGACGCUGAGGAGCGAAAGCGUGGGGAGCGAACA
rnacentral:rRNA from 1 species